CCUACGGGAGGCAGCAGUGAGGAAUAUUGGUCAAUGGACGAGAGUAUGAACCAGCCAAGUAGCGUGAAGGAUGACUGCCCUAUGGGUUGUAAACUUCUUUUAUAAAGGAAUAAAACGAGGCACGUGUGCCUUUUUGCAUGUACUUUAUGAAUAAGGAUCGGCUAACUCCGUGCCAGCAGCCGCGGUAAUACGGAGGAUCCGAGCGUUAUCCGGAUUUAUUGGGUUUAAAGGGAGCGUAGAUGGGUUGUUAAGUCAGUUGUGAAAGUUUGCGGCUCAACCGUAAAAUUGCAAUUGAUACUGGCAGUCUUGAGUACAGGUGAGGUAGGCGGAAUUCGUGGUGUAGCGGUGAAAUGCUUAGAUAUCACGAAGAACCCCGAUUGCGAAGGCAGCUUACUAAACUGUGACUGACAUUGAGGCUCGAAAGUGUGGGUAUCGAACAGGAUUAGAUACCCGUGUAGUC
rnacentral:rRNA from 1 species